rnacentral:misc_RNA from 1 species
UGGGGUCUUGUGUUGUACAACAAUUUGUUGUCAUUGAUGAUGGCUCCGGUGUUCUGGAUUCUCACAGGAGAGUAUAGGGAGGUGUUUGCUUCUUUGGGUUCAAAGGCUGGGAAUUGGUUCGAAUAUGAUGCAUUUUUUGCAGUUUCUUUGUCCUGUGUGUUUGGUUUGGCUAUUAGUUUUUUUGGAUUUGCGGCAAGGAGGGCGAUAUCUGCAACAGCAUUCACUGUGACUGGUGUAGUUAAUAAGUUUCUUACAGUUGUGAUCAAUGUGCUCAUUUGGGAUAAGCACGCCAGUCCAUUUGGUUUGCUUUGCCUACUCUUCACACUUGCUGGAGGUGUUCUCUAUCAGCAGUCAGUUACUAGAGCUGGAGCUGAGCCUGUUCCUAAGCAGACAAACAGCGAAAAUGAUGGCGAUGAAGAGACUCAACUUGUCAAAAAAACUGAUGGUGAUGAAGAGAACUAAGGGAGGAGCAUAUCUGGUAAACAUGCUUCUGCAUGACAAUUAUUAUUUCAUAUGUUUUCAUAUUCUAUUUAGCUUGGAUGAUGAUUUGAAGAGGCUUAUUGUGAUGUAUGGAGGUUUUUAUCUCUAGUACUAGGGAUUAAAGAGUAUCUUAGUUGUAUUAGAUAUUUUAAGGAAUUUAUCCUUCUUGUUUCUUACACUAUGUGUCUUUGUUUUAUUUGCUUUACCAUAUGGUAAUGAUUUGGUCUUUUAUUAACAGUUUUUUGGUGUUCUUGUAUGUUGCUUUUGUGAAGUAAAGUGGUGGUCUUUUUACAUGUUUACUUAUUAUUGAGAAUAUGGAAAGCUGGCUGUGGGAUUUUGUUGCAACAAUUGCUAGAAUUCAAGAUUGAGUUCAGGUUCCCUGGAUAGGUUUACCACUCUUUUACUUCAU